rnacentral:rRNA from 1 species
CAGUCGCCGCGGUAAUACGUAGGUGGCAAGCGUUGUCCGGAAUUAUUGGGCGUAAAGGGCUCGCAGGCGGUUUCUUAAGUCUGAUGUGAAAGCCCCCGACUCAACCGGGGAGGGUCAUUGGAAACUGGGAAACUUGAGUGCAGAAGAGGAGAGUGGAAUUCCACGUGUAGCGGUGAAAUGCGUAGAGAUGUGGAGGAACACCAGUGGCGAAGGCGACUCUCUGGUCUGUAACUGACGCUGAGGAGCGAAAGCGUGGGGAGCGAACAGGAUUAGAUACCCGUGUAGUCCUGUCUCUUAUACA